CACGUAGGGCGCAAGCGUUGUCCGGAAUUAUUGGGCGUAAAGGGCUCGUAGGCGGUCUGUCGCGUCGGGAGUGAAAACUCAGGGCUUAACCCUGAGCCUGCUUCCGAUACGGGCAGACUAGAGGUAUGCAGGGGAGAACGGAAUUCCUGGUGUAGCGGUGGAAUGCGCAGAUAUCAGGAGGAACACCGGUGGCGAAGGCGGUUCUCUGGGCAUUACCUGACGCUGAGGAGCGAAAGUGUGGGGAGCGAACAGG
rnacentral:rRNA from 1 species